rfam:Ostreococcus tauri, RCC4221, WGS project CAID01000000 data, contig: 02, chromosome: 2
GACACUGUGGCCGAGUGGUCUAAGGCGCCAGGUUCAGGUCCUGGUUCGAAAGAGCGUGGGUUCAAAUCCCACCGGUGUCA